GAUGAACGCUGGCGGCGUGCUUAACACAUGCAAGUCGAACGGAAAGGCCCCAGCUUGCUGGGGUACUCGAGUGGCGAACGGGUGAGUAACACGUGGGUGAUCUGCCCUGCACUUUGGGAUAAGCUUGGGAAACUGGGUCUAAUACCGAAUAUGACCACUUCUUGGAUGUUGUGGUGGAAAGCUUUUGCGGUGUGGGAUGAGCCUGCGGCCUAUCAGCUUGUUGGUGGGGUAAUGGCCUACCAAGGCGGCGACGGGUAUCUGGCCUGAGAGGGUGUACGACACAUUGGGUCUGAGAUACGGCCCAGACUCCUACGGGAGGCAGCAGUGGGGAAUAUUGCACAAUGUGCGCAAGCCUGAUGCAGCGACGCCGCGUGGGGGAUGAAGGCCUUCGGGUUGUAAACUCCUUUCGCUAUCGACGAAGCCACUUGUGGUGACGGUAGGUAGAUAAGAAGCACCGGCUAACUACGUGCCAGCAGCCGCGGUAA
rnacentral:rRNA from 1 species